GCAGUCAAAGUAGGCAAAUCCGCUUUGAUAAUGCUGGGAUGUGAUGGGGAGCGAAAUUUAGUAGCGAAGUAGCUGAUUUCACACUGUCAAGAAAAGUCUCUAUCGAGGUUAAAGGUACCCGUACCGCAAACCGACACAGGUGGGUGAGGAGAGUAUCCUAGGGCCAGCGAGAGAACUGUUGUUAAGGAACUCGGCAAAAUGACCCCGUAACUUAGGGAUAAGGGGUGCCACCAUCAGGUGGCCGCAGAGAAUAGGCCCAAGCG
rnacentral:rRNA from 1 species